CGAAACCUUUUGGUGUACUGGACUACGUUCUGACCAACUGAGCCACCCAGCCAGGGGGAGGUCUCCAUCUUUUACCGUCCUAUCAACUAGUUCAUAUUUUUCAAAGACACUUAGCACUUACUUAAAGGGUCUUGAUACUAGAAUUCUGACAGGUUUUCAAACAAAGAUGUGUACCUGAAUGUCCAUGGUAGCGUUAACCACAAUAGCCCCAAAUGUCUAUCAAUAGAUGAAUAAAAAAACAAAACACAAGAUAUCCUACAAUAAAAUAUUAUCCAGCCACAGAAAGGAAGGAAGUACUGAUCCCGCAACAACACAACAUGGGAACCUUAGAAACUUGACGCUCAGUGGAGGAAGCCAGGCACACAAGGCCCCAAACUACAUGAUUCCACCGAAAUGAAACAUCCAGAAUAGGCAAAUUCUUGGAGAGAGAAGGCGUAUUAGUGGUUGUCAGGGACUCAAGAGAAAGGAAAGAGUGACUGUUUAAUGGGCACCAGCUCUCCUUUGGGGGUGAUGAAGAAAGUCUGCAGCUAGGUAGUGGUUAUGGCUGUGCGGCCCUGUGGAUGCACUUUGUGCCAUGCAACCGUGCACUUUACAACAGUCUGUUUUAUGCCGUGUGUGUUUCAUGUGCGUGAUCAGUUCUGAUGACUUAAUUAGAUUAAAAAUAUUUAUGUCCAAGUCUUUUAUCUGGCUAACUUUGAUCAAACAGAGGAAUAUUCAUUUUUUAUUGAGAAUAUCAGCUCCUGGGUAAGUAAUAAACUUCAAAUGUACAAUGUAAUAUAUAUCAUAGAAAAAACAGCUUUCACUCAACGUGGACUGUUCGUUUUCUAAAUUAUUCAUGCAAAAGUAAUUAAUAAUGAUGAGUAAAAAGGUGAAUUUCUAUUUGGUAAAUGUCAUAGUUUUUACAUUUGCAAGAUAUGUAGAACUAUAACUCAAUUUCAAUUAUUUCAGAGAGACUUUAACGAUAUAACACUGUGACCUCUUUAAAGGAAUAGCAAUGAACAUGUUUUUGUAUAAUUAAAGAACCUUGAUUCUUUUACAUUAUUCACUGAAAACCACCAUCAGUUUCAAAAGGAUAAUUUUUGGUCUCAGUCUUCUGUUGGAUACAAUUUAUUCUGUACGUGCGAGGCACUAAGCUGUGGGACAUACGCAGCCACCUAAUUCACACCAUCACAGUCCGCUGUGUUGUGUAGAGAGGCGACAUAAUUCGCCCAAGUUCUCUCAGGUGGUUAAUAAUAGAUCUGGGGUUCAGAGCUUGCUUUGGAAUUUCAAUUCCGAAUCCUAUUGUCUCAACUGACAAACUUGCUCUGCACAGGGCCAGAUAGCAAAUAUUUGAGGCUUUGCUGGCCACGUGGUCUCUGUUGCAACUACUCAACUUUGCCCUUGCAGCAUGAAAACACCACAGACAGUUCAUAAACAAGGGAGCAUGCUCAUGACUCCUGUUUCAAUAAGGGCAUGAAAUUUAAAUUUACCUAUUUUUUCAUGUAUCACGAUCAUUCUUUCCCUUUCCUCCCAGCAAUUUCAAAGUGUAAAAAACGAUUCUUAGCUCGCAGGCCACACAAAAUCAGGCAGCGAGCCAGGUUUGGCCCCACGGCUAUAGUUUGCUGACCCCUCCUCUUGGUCCGGGGGAGGGCCCCAAAUCCCAUGUCUACAGUGGACAGGAGCAUAAUAAAAUGAGUGAAACAGGCUGAGCGAACAUUAGAGGUUAGUGGAGACUGUAGCUACUAGAAGAAACCACAGCUUCCUCGGGAAGCUCUUAACUGUUGCUGUCACAUGAGAAUGUGGGCCUGGUAUUGCCAAUCCCUGCGGGUUCUCAAAGGAGAGAAGCUGGAAGUUCAGGUUUGUCCUUUACAGUCUUUCUGUUUCAAUAUCAGCAGUAAAUUUCUGGAAGAAAACGCUAUCUAUGAAAACCCAUCAUAGAUCAGAUAUGGCCCAUGGGUGCCGCUGUGUGCAACCUCUUCACUGAGGUCGCACAGGUUCUCAACCCUGGCUGUUUCAGGGGUUCAUUUUAGGUGCUUUAAAAAAUGGAGAUGUCUGGACCUCACCCCCAGAAAUCAGAUUGAACUGGUCUGCAAUGGAGUGACUGUGUAUUUUUAAAGCCCCCUGCUGACUCUGAAGUGUAGCUGCCCCUGCUUCUGUCUGCCAAUUACACGGGCUUGUCUCCCCAGCUGAGCACAUGCAUACUGAGGGAGGGCAGAUUUCCAGCUGCUCUUGGUCCAAAAGUCAACUCAUUUAACCUGUUCCUCUGCCCGCCCCACAGCUGUUGCCUAUAAACACCACCACAAAGGACUGCAGUCUUUUACUCAUUAAUCUCACUUGUUGGAAACAAACAACAACCGAGGAGCAACAUCAUAACGAUCACUUGCCAGUGAGGUCUGAACACACAGGGAACCAGCUGUGGGGCAGAUCUGGGACCAAGUUGGAUGGCAUUUUUUUUCUGCCCAGUGCCCUGCCCAGUUUAAAAUACCAUGGGGCUUGAACACUGGCUGUAGACAAAGGAGCCCGAACCAUAGACAUAGGCCAAAUGCCUGGUUCAGAGCCUUCAGUAGCUUCCCUUACCCUUCACCUUGGCCUGUGUGGUGUGGCCCAUUCUAUCAGUCAGGGUUCAGUGAAGAAACACUAUGGAUUAUAGGAUAAGAGAUUCAUUUUAGGAAUUAGACCCUGCAGAGCUGUGGGAAGAGCCGAGGAAUGGACAGUGAGAGGGAAACUAGAAGAUCAGAGAAGGCACUAACCAGUCCAUCCGACCAACCAAGCGUAUUUGGCCACUAAAAUCAAAUUUGGCCAAGGAGAGCCUCUAUGACAAGCUGUACUCCAUAUUCCUACUGCGGCAAAGCAUCUGGUGGUGGGACAGGGGCCACUGCUGGUCAACAGGGUCGGCAGUCAGGAAAAGAGCUGGAUGCAGAGCGGAGGAGAGAAGGGCAGGUGAAACCCACAGGCGUCUGCAUCCAUGCAUCACGGUGUCUGACCAUGGUGACCUUUGGUGUUGGCUGCUGCUGCACUUGCUUCUCCCGGCUAGCCUAACAGGGAAGAGGAUUCUAGGAAAAGAGGAUUUCACUUCCCACUUAACCCGGUUGACGCAGUACAAACCACACAUCCUUGCCCACCUCUUUUGCCUCUUUUAACUGUCAUCCUCUCUGAUGGUUGAUUUUAUAUGUCAACUUGGCUGGGCCACAGGGUGCCCAGGUAUCUAAACAUGAUCCUGGGUGUUUGAAUCAGUAGGCUGAGUAAAGUGGAUCACCCUCCCUAAUAUGGGUGGGCCUCAUCUAUUCAGUUGAAGGCAUGGGUAAAACAGAAAAAGGGGGUGGGGGCUAGGGAGAAUUCUCACUUUCUGCCUGACUGCUGAGCUGGGACAACAAUCUUCUUUUGCCUUCGGAUGGAAACUUACACUGUUGGCUCUGCUGGCUCUCAGGCCUUCACGCUUGAACUGGAGUUGCCCCACCGGCUUUCCUGGGCUUCCUGAAGACUGUGAGACUCUGCCUUCAGAGUCACAUGGACCAAUUCCUUAUAAUACCUUUCUCUCUCUCCAUAUACAUCCUAUUGGUUCUCUUUCUUUAGGAACUGUUACUUACUAAUCCACCCUCUUUCCUCCAUGGUUCUUCUUUCAGUUCCUGGAGGUUGCCAAGUUCUUUCCUGUCCUGUGGCCAUUUCACUUCUAGCUUAAAUGUUCUCCCCCUCACCAAUUCCUCACCUACCUCCUGCUCCUCACCCUCUAGGGUCCAGGUAACAGCACAUUCUCUGGACUUCCAAUACCGAUGAUCUCCUCAUUCUUUUUCUCUUAUAGGUACAACUAAGGGCUGUAUCUCUACAACAGAGUGACAAGUCUUCAUACACAGCAUUGGGUUAAUUUGAAAACCACCCAAUACACUCCCGAGGCUACAGUCCACCUGGGGCCAGCCAGGUAAUGACCUCUCGACUAAGUGAUAUCUCAGGACAUUUUCUGAAUUCUACCUCC